AAAAAAAAAAAAAAAAAAACAUUUACAAUUUACACGGUAAUAACCGUAGAUCGAAAUUUAGAGAACGAAUAUUCAAACUCCCGGUCGGUAUUUCAAAUGAUUGUAUUACAUAAAUCUCAUCUGUAUGCUACUUGACAAAUCUGCAGCUCGUAUAAAUGGCGAAACGUCAACGCUAUACAAUGCGCAGUUAUUAAAUUGAACUUUUUAUCAAUCGUUAUGGUUCCGCUUAACCCGCC